UUCAGGCACUGAUGAAACUUUCAACGAACAUGAAAACAAUGAUGAUAAUGAAGACGACAAAUUCAAUCAUGCAGCAAUACUACCUGCUAUACCCUUUUCCAAUUCCCAUUCUGUUGAUACAGAUGAAAACUUCAGAUGGACAACCCAAUCUACAAAACUUCUCAUCAGCCAAUA